rnacentral:rRNA from 1 species
GAUGAACGCUGGCGGCGUGCCUAAUACAUGCAAGUCGAGCGAACGGAUGAGAAGCUUGCUUCUCUGAUGUUAGCGGCGGACGGGUGAGUAACACGUGGAUAACCUACCUAUAAGACUGGGAUAACUUCGGGAAACCGGAGCUAAUACCGGAUAAUAUUUUGAACCGCAUGGUUCAAAAGUGAAAGACGGUCUUGCUGUCACUUAUAGAUGGAUCCGCGCUGCAUUAGCUAGUUGGUAAGGUGACGGCUUACCAAAGCAACGAUGCAUAGCCGACCUGAGAGGGUGAUCGGCCACACUGGAACUGAGACACGGUCCAGACUCCUACGGGAGGCAGCAGUAGGGAAUCUUCCGCAAUGGGCGAAAGCCUGACGGAGCAACGCCGCGUGAGUGAUGAAGGUCUUCGGAUCGUAAAACUCUGUUAUUAGGGAAGAACAUAUGUGUAAGUAACUGUGCACAUCUUGACGGUACCUAAUCAGAAAGCCACGGCUAACUACGUG